AACGAACGCUGGCGGCAGGCUUAACACAUGCAAGUCGAGCGCCCCGCAAGGGGAGCGGCAGACGGGUGAGUAACGCGUGGGAACAUACCCUUUCCUGCGGAAUAGCUCCGGGAAACUGGAAUUAAUACCGCAUACGCCCUACGGGGGAAAGAUUUCUCGCGGAAGGAUUGGCCCGCGUUGGAUUAGCUAGUUGGUGGGGUAAAGGCCUACCAAGGCGACGAUCCAUAGCUGGUCUGAGAGGAUGAUCAGCCACAUGGGGACUGAGACACGGCCCAAACUCCUACGGGAGGCAGCAGUGGGGAAUAUUGGACAAUGGGCGCAAGCCUGAUCCAGCCAUGCCGCGUGAGUGAUGAAGGCCUUAGGGUUGUAAAGCUCUUUCACCGGAGAAGAUAAUGACGGUAUCCGGAGAAGAAGCCCCGGCUAACUUCGUGCCAGCAGCCGCCGUAACAC
rnacentral:rRNA from 1 species